GUAUCGCCGGAUGAUGACGUCAGCUAGGCUCUGGCCCUGGCCGUUGCAUCUCUCCAGGGCCGGUGCAGGGUUCUCGCUUCAGGCCUAAGCUCUGGGUGGCGAGCGGACCUCCGUGUACUCGGUCACGUUGGCGUUGGCCCCGCAGCCUUUCCGCGUGCGACCUUCCCUUGUGCUCGGUGUCACGCUGCCUUCUGGGAGAGGAAUGCCUGUCUGGCCAGAAGACAGGGGUUUCUACCUGGGAAAGACGGGCCCCUCCUUUGCCCUGCGGACAUCAGGCCCUCCAAAUCGUGUAUCGUCGCUAGAGGCUCGUGACAUCGAAAGAAAAGAACAAGAACCAUUGGCACCUUGGAUAAAAUGAAUCAGGAGGCAUCCACAGGGUAAAUUACACAAUAACAAUUUAUUACCAGAAGACUCACUAAAUUAUUUAAGAGAACUCUUCUAGGAGACAUGAAUCUAGUUUCUGCAAUACUGGAAUGGAUGACAUACAAAACAUGAUACAUUUUAUAUAUUUUUAGAUCACUAGUCUUGCUUGGUAUAAUGCAAACAUGAUUUGGCUUUGCUGUAGACAGUUACCAAUAUAGUAUCAAGUUUUUCCAUGUGAAAAUCUCACCCUAAUUGUGGCAUUUUCAAAAGUGGUGCCUGCAACCUUGAGCAGAUGUAGACUCACAUCUAUCUGGAAAUAGUAUAGAAAUUACAAAUGAAAGGAUUGUAGUUUGAAUCUCAGAAAUGGAAACUGAAAGUAAACACAAAAAGUUGUCAACUGGACCACUUUCACACUAAAGCCACCAAACUCAGGAAAACCAGAAGAAAUACUUGAGACAACAAAGUUGAAGUUUCCUGCAUUCUGAGCUGUGGUGGAUACACCCAUCUUCAGUCAACAUGACAUUGAGAAUCUGUUCUUAGAUGCUUAUCCAAGACAGAUAAAUCCAAUUCCCCAGGAGAACCAAAACAUUUCUAAACUAAGAAAAUGGGCCGGAGGUCUAACUCAGUGAUAGAAUGCUUGCCAGUAUUCAUGAAGCCCUAUC